UUCCAGACUCCUACGGGAGGCAGCAGUGAGGAAUAUUGGUCAAUGGGCGAGAGCCUGAACCAGCCAAGUCGCGUGAAGGAUGACGGCCCUGCGGGUUGUAAACUUCUUUUGUCAGGGAGCAAUUGGGUCCACGCGUGGGCUUAGCGAGAGUACCUGAAGAAAAAGCAUCGGCUAACUCCGUGCCAGCAGCCGCGGUAAUACGGAGGAUGCGAGCGUUAUCCGGAUUUAUUGGGUUUAAAGGGUGCGUAGGCGGAAUAUCAAGUCAGCGGUAAAAAUUCGGGGCUCAACCCCGUACUGCCGUUGAAACUGCAUCCCUUGAGUGCGCGAGAAGUAUGCGGAAUGCGUGGUGUAGCGGUGAAAUGCAUAGAUAUCACGCAGAACUCCGAUUGCGAAGGCAGCAUACCGGCGCGCAACUGACGCUCAGGCACGAAAGCGUGGGUAUCGAACAGGAUUAGAUACCCUAGUAA
rnacentral:rRNA from 1 species